rnacentral:rRNA from 1 species
AGCGAACGCUGGCGGCAGGCUUAACUCAUGCAAGUCGAGCGCCCCGCAAGGGGAGCGGCAGACGGGAGAGUAACACGUGGGAACAUACCUUUUGGUUCGGAACAACUGAGGGAAACUUCAGCUAAUACCGGAUAAGCCCUUACGGGGAAAGAUUUAUCGCCGAAAGAUUGGCCCGCGUCUGAUUAGCUAGUUGGUGAGGUAACGGCUCACCAAGGCGACGAUCAGUAGCUGGUCUGAGAGGAUGAUCAGCCUCACUGGGACUGAGACACGGCCCAGACUCCUACGGGAGGCAGCAGUGGGGAAUAUUGGACAAUGGGGGCAACCCUGAUCCAGCCAUGCCGCGUGAGUGAUGAAGGCCUUAGGGUUGUAAAGCUCUUUUGCCCGGGAAGAUAAUGACGGUACCGGGAGAAUAAGCCCCGGCUAACUUCGUG